GACGAACGCUGGCGGCGUGCCUAAUACAUGCCAGUCGAACGAGAGCAACCGGUGCUUGCACUGGUCAAUCUAGUGGCGAACGGGUGAGUAACACGUGGGUAACCUGCCCAUCAGAGGGGGAUAACAUCCGGAAACGGAUGCUAAAACCGCAUAGGUCUUCGAACCGCAUGGUUUGAAGAGGAAAAGAGGCGCAAGCUUCUGCUGAUGGAUGGACCCGCGGUGCAUUAGCUAGUUGGUGAGGUAACGGCUCACCAAGGCCGUGAUGCAUAGCCGACCUGAGAGGGUGAUCGGCCACAUUGGGACUGAGACACGGCCCAAACUCCUACGGGAGGCAGCAGUAGGGAAUCUUCCGCAAUGGACGCAAGUCUGACGGAGCAACGCCGCGUGAGUGAAGAAGGUUUUCGGAUCGUAAAACUCUGUUGUUAGAGAAGAACAAGUGCUAGAGUAACUGUUAGCGCCUUGACGGUAGCUAACCAGAAAGCCACGGCUAACUACGUG
rnacentral:rRNA from 1 species